rnacentral:rRNA from 1 species
CAAUAGCGUAUAUUAAAGUUGUUGCAGUUAAAAAGCUCGUAGUUGAAUUUCUGGCGGGCGCGCCGGUCUUCCAAGUGUUGUACUGGGCGCAGUCCGCCAUUUUUGUGGAGAGGGCUCGUAUUGAGUUGUGUGUUGGAUUUGUAUUAUUUACUGUGAAAAAAUUAGAGUGUUUAAAGCAGGCUGUCGCUUGAAUACAUUAGCAUGGAAUAAUAAGAUAGGACUUCGGUCUAUUUUGUUGGUUGCGAACCGAGGUAAUGAUUAAUAGGGAUAGUUGGGGGUAUUCAUAUUUAAUUGUCAGAGGUGAAAUUCUUGGAUUUAUGAAAGAUGAACAACUGCGAAAGCAUUUACCAAGGAUGUUUUCAUUAA